UUCACACCGCACAAGCACACAGCCCUCCUCCCACUAGUUCACUUUAUCUUCCCCUUUUCUCUCUCUAGGUUUCAGCUACUUCUCCCUCUCGUGUGUUCAUUUCAUCUCCUCCCAUCUCUCUCUAGGAUUCCUCUCUCUCUCUACCCUCUCGCAUUCCACCCAUGGGCGCUCCUUCAGAUUUCAUCAGAAUUUUGCACGAUCCAGUCGCGGGUUGGAGGAAGGAUGUGCGGGAUUGAAGCAAGGAGGGAGGAGGGGAUGGGGGAGCGCAGAAAUCACCAGGGCAAGGGUUCCUCUCUCUCAUCUCACAUCCACCAGCGAUUCCUGGAUCCCAAUCGAGGGUUGGAGAAAGCAUCUGCAGGAUUGAAGCGGAGGAGAAGGGAUGAGGGUGGAAGCGCAGAAAUCAGGCCAAGGUGAGAUGAAUCCCGAUGCGUUCAGCCUUUAGCGUG